rnacentral:antisense_RNA from 1 species
AGGGGACGGUGAGGAUUGAGAGCCACCUCACACCAUUGGGUCUCCUCCCUACAGUCCUUUUACUCUCCCCUGCCCGAAAUCAGACAGCCGCCUCCCCCAGGGCCUGGGCAGUUUCGAACUGGGGAUGCCCGCAGUUUGUUCUGGGAACUCCAUGAUGUUCUAGUUAUUGGCGCGUGUUGAGGAGAGAACUCGACCAGGAUGGAGAAAAUAAAAUGCUGCUGUGAGAAGCUACUGCAGGUGUGGAUUUGAAAGCUGAUGGAAGAAGAUUGUGAACAGAAUUCUACCUCUUCGCCAACACCGUGACCAGCACCCCGGGAUCCAUUUAUUGUGAACAGGUUCCCGGGUGAAGAAGGUGCCUUGCUUCCCCUUCACCUUCUACCAUGAUUGUAAGUUUCCUGAGGCCUCCCUAGCCAUGCGGAACUGCAUACAUUAAGUGUGGGAGAGAGCUAUCCUGCUCAAAAGAGAGUGCUCCCCAUUCUGGCACAUCUGGAAAUCAUCUGGCAAAUAUCUUCUGACCAUCUCUGAGUGAAAAAGCCUUCAAGU